rnacentral:rRNA from 1 species
GAGGCGAACCGGGGGAACUGAAACAUCUAAGUACCCCGAGGAAAAGAAAUCAACCGAGAUUCCGAAAGUAGCGGCGAGCGAAAUUGGACUAGCCCUUAAGCUUUACACGCGUUAGACGAACGGUCUGGAAAGUCCGACGAUACAGGGUGAUAGUCCCGUAGUUGACGACGUGUGUUCAGUGAAAUCGAGUAGGGCGGGACACGUGAUAUCCUGUCUGAAUAUGGGGGGACCAUCCUCCAAGGCUAAAUACUACUGACUGACCGAUAGUGAACCAGUACCGUGAGGGAAAGGCGAAAAGAACCCCUGUGAGGGGAGUGAAAUAGAACCUGAAACCGUGUACGUACAAGCAGUAGGAGCACCUUCGUGGUGUGACUGCGUACCUUUUGUAUAAUGGGUCAGCGACUUAUAUUCAGUGGCAAGGUUAACCAUCUAGGGGAGCCGUAGGGAAACCGAGUCUUAACUGGGCGUUCAGUCUCUGGAUAUAGACCCGAAACCAGGUGAUCUAGCCAUGGGCAGGUUGAAGGUUGAGUAACAUCAACUGGAGGACCGAACCGACUAAUGUUGAAAAAUUAGCGGAUGACUUGUGGCUAGGGGUGAAAGGCCAAUCAAACCUGGAGAUAGCUGGUUCUCCCCGAAAGCUAUUUAGGUAGCGCCUCGGACGAAUACUACUGGGGGUAGAGCACUGUUAAGGCUAGGGGGUCAUCCCGACUUACCAACCCUUUG